GCCGCGGUGGUGGAAUGGCAGACACGAGGGCCUUAAGAGCCCUUGUCCGUAAGGGCGUGAGAGUUCGACUCUCUCCCGCGGCACCC
rnacentral:tRNA from 1 species